rnacentral:misc_RNA from 1 species
AUUUCUCUUGAGUGUAAAGGGAUUUGCAAAAGAGUAAGGGUUUGCACUUGUGGUAAUUGUAAGGGGUUUAUUCUUCACCCAAAAAAGAAUUUUAGUGGAGUUAACUCUCAAUGAGGGCCUUGAGGAAAGGAUGUAGGCUUGGGAUAGCCAAACCUCUAUAAAAUUCCUUAUGUUCUUUCUUUCCUUCCUUUUCUUUGUGCUCUUCACUCAAAAUUUCUCUUAGGCUUCAAAUUCUUUAAUUAACAUCCAAUUCAACCCCCCUCUUGGGUUGCUAUAAGGGACAAAAAGUGGUAUCA